GUGUUGUUAGUAUAAGUAGUUAUUAUUGUACCUUUCCAAGGUAAGGAUCUAAAUAUAGUUAGGCAACGUA
rnacentral:tRNA from 1 species